UACGUAGGGGGCAAGCGUUAUCCGGAUUUACUGGGUGUAAAGGGAGCGUAGACGGCAGCGCAAGCCUGGAGUGAAAGGAUGGGGCCUAACCCCAUGACUGCUCUGGGAACUGUGCGGCUAGAGUGCCGGAGGGGUAAGCGGAAUUCCUAGUGUAGCGGUGAAAUGCGUAGAUAUUAGGAGGAACACCAGUGGCGAAGGCGGCUUACUGGACGGUAACUGACGUUGAGGCUCGAAAGCGUGGGGAGCAAACAGG
rnacentral:rRNA from 1 species